ACCUGGGGAGUACGAUCGCAAGGUUGAAACUCAAAGGAAUUGACGGGGGCCCGCACAAGCGGUGGAUUAUGUGGUUUAAUUCGAAGCAACGCGAAGAACCUUACCAGGGCUUGACAUCCUGCUAACGAAGUAGAGAUACAUUAGGUGCCCUUCGGGGAAAGCAGAGACAGGUGGUGCAUGGUUGUCGUCAGCUCGUGUCGUGAGAUGUUGGGUUAAGUCCCGCAACGAGCGCAACCCCUAUUGUUAGUUGCUACGCAAGAGCACUCUAGCGAGACUGCCGUUGACAAAACGGAGGAAGGCGGGGACGACGUCAAAUCAUCAUGCCCCUUAUGUCCUGGGCUACACACGUAAUACAAUGGCGGUUAACAAAGGGAUGCAAAGCCGCGAGGCAGAGCGAACCCCAAAAAGCCGUCCCAGUUCGGAUCGCAGGCUGCAACCCGCCUGCGUGAAGUCGGAAUCGCUAGUAAUCGCGGAUCAGCAUGCCGCGGUGAAUACGUUC
rnacentral:rRNA from 1 species